AGGGAGUUUAGGCAAUAUGCUCCAGAUAGGUUAGAAAUAAGAAUUAGGCAAUUGUAAGCAGGGAAACCUAUAAAUGGAAUUAUAGGUAAUAUUGAGAGAGAACCUAUAAAUCAAACUAUAGGUAAAAAAGAAAGGAUAACAGAAAUAGUGGUUUAAGCAAUAUGCCUCAGAGAGGUUAUAUACAGACAGAUUAUUUACAGAUAUUAGACGAUAGUAAGAAAUCCUAUAUAUGAAAGUAGAGGAUAGAGAAGUAAAACGGAACUAAACAGUAAAGUGUCAGAAUAGCAAACAAAAUAGUAAUUUAGUGAAUCAGUCCCCUGUUUGGAUGGAGCAGUGAAAAGAUAGGCAAAUAACUGUUUGCAAUAUUGGUUAUUUGUGUAAUACAGG